AAACUUACCUGGCAAGGAGAAAUCAUUAUCAGGAAGGUGGUUUUCCAGGAUGAGGCUCAUCCUGUGCUGACCCUGCAACUUCCCUAAAGGUGAGGAAAUUCAGCUGCAUAAUUGUGUUGUAGGGGACGGCGUGAGCACUCUCCCCUG
ensembl:snRNA Gm23464 predicted gene, 23464